rnacentral:rRNA from 1 species
AGGAAAGUAGGGGAUCGCAAGACCUUGCGCUCUUGGAGCGGCCGAUGUCUGAUUAGCUAGUUGGUGAGGUAAAGGCUUACCAAGGCGACGAUCAGUAGCUGGUCUGAGAGGACGACCAGCCACACUGGGACUGAGACACGGCCCAGACUCCUACGGGAGGCAGCAGUGGGGAAUUUUGGACAAUGGGGGAAACCCUGAUCCAGCCAUGCCGCGUGAGUGAAGAAGGCCUUCGGGUUGUAAAGCUCUUUCAGCCGGAACGAAACGGUCACGGCUAAUACCUGUGAUCACUGACGGUACCGGAAGAAGAAGCACCGGCUAACUACGUGCCAGCAGCCGCGGUAAUACGUAGGGUGCAAGCGUUAAUCGGAAUUACUGGGCGUAAAGCGUGCGCAGGCGGUUUUGUAAGUCAGAUGUGAAAUCCCCGGGCUUAACCUGGGAACUGCGUUUGAAACUACAAGGCU